GAUGAACGCUGGCGGCGUCCCUAAUACAUGCAAGUCGAGCGAACAGACGAGGAGCUUGCUCCUCUGACGUUAGCGGCGGACGUGUGAGUAACACGUGGAUAACCUACCUAUAAGACUGGGAUAACUUCGGGAAACCGGAGCUAAUACCGGAUAAUAUAUUGAACCGCAUGGUUCAAUAGCGAAAGACGGUUUUGCUGUCACUUAUAGAUGGAUCCGCGCCGCAUUAGCUAGUUGGUAAGGUAACGGCUUACCAAGGCGACGAUGCGUAGCCGACCUGAGAGGGUGAUCGGCCACACUGGAGCUGAGACACGGUCCAGACUCCUACGGGAGGCAGCAGUAGGGAAUCUUCCGCAAUGGGCGAAAGCCUGACGGAGCAGCGCCGCGUGAGUGAUGAAGGUCUUCGGAUCGUAAAACUGUGUUAUUAGGGAAGAACAAAUGUGUAAGUAACUAUGCACGUCUUGACGGUACCUGAUCAGAAAGCCACGGCUAACUACGUG
rnacentral:rRNA from 1 species